GCCGAUGUCUGAUUAGCUAGUUGGUGGGGUAAAGGCUUACCAAGGCAACGAUCAGUAGUUGGUCUGAGAGGACGGCCAACCACACUGGGACUGAGACACGGCCCAGACUCCUACGGGAGGCAGCAGUGGGGAAUUUUGGACAAUGGGCGAAAGCCUGAUCCAGCCAUGCCGCGUGAGUGAAGAAGGCCUUCGGGUUGUAAAGCUCUUUUAGUCGGAAAGAAAGAGUUGCAAUGAAUAAUUGUGAUUUAUGACGGUACCGACAGAAAAAGCACCGGCUAACUACGUGCCAGCAGCCGCGGUAAUACGUAGGGUGCGAGCGUUAAUCGGAAUUACUGGGCGUAAAGGGUGCGCAGGCGGUCUUGCAAGUCAGAUGUGAAAGCCCCGGGCUUAACCUGGGAAUUGCGUUUGAAACUACAAUGCUAGAGUGCAGCAUAGGGGAGUGGAAUUCCAUGUGUAGCAG
rnacentral:rRNA from 1 species